CCUACGGGAGGCAGCAGUGGGGAAUUUUGGACAAUGGGCGCAAGCCUGAUCCAGCAAUGCCGCGUGAGUGAAGAAGGCCUUCGGGUUGUAAAGCUCUUUUGUCAGGGAAGAAACGGUGUGGGCUAAUAUCCCGCACUAAUGACGGUACCUGAAGAAUAAGCACCGGCUAACUACGUGCCAGCAGCCGCGGUAAUACGUAGGGUGCAAGCGUUAAUCGGAAUUACUGGGCGUAAAGCGUGCGCAGGCGGUUUUGUAAGUUUGUCGUGAAAUCCCCGGGCUCAACCUGGGAAUGGCGAUGAAGACUGCAAGGCUAGAAUCUGGCAGAGGGGGGUAGAAUUCCACGUGUAGCAGUGAAAUGCGUAGAGAUGUGGAGGAACACCGAUGGCGAAGGCAGCCCCCUGGGUCAAGAUUGACGCUCAUGCACGAAAGCGUGGGGAGCAAACAGGAUUAGAUACCCUGGUAGUCCCACGACCUAACCGAUAGUCUACUAGUUAGUUCGGUUUAACGUUUAACUUAGUUAACGUACAGACUACGCGUGAAGUAGACCGCCGU
rnacentral:rRNA from 1 species